CCUAAGAGAUACGUGUUAUGUGCAGUGCUCACACAGAUUGUCUGAUGAAGAACGAGCAAAAACGCGUCUGCGAAGCUGACAGAAGUCCCCUUCGUCUAGAGGCCUAGGACACCGCCCUUUCACGGCGGUAACAGGGGUUCGAAUCCCCUAGGGGACGCCAAUGCGCGGUAUGAGUGAAAGGCGUACCACUUAUCUGACGAGAGUCAGAGAAUAACUAAGCUAAUUCAAACGAGUUAUCUUAUUUAUUAUGCUCUUUAACAAUCUGGAACAAGCUGAAAAAUUGAAAACAAAUCAAUAUAUCAACAACGAGGUAUAUUGAUGAGUCUCUCAAAAUCUCAAACUUUGAAUGUGUUUUGACAUCAAAGUGGGAUGAGCGAGCAAUUUACAGUUCGAGGCGGACAGCGCACAGCAAGCGCAGCAUACUUAAGUAUGUGAGCAUUGCGAGCACUGCCCAACGAAGAAAUGUAAUCUGCGCAGCCAUCACCACCCAGAUAGUCUUUGAAAGAGACACUUUCGGGUUGUGA
rnacentral:misc_RNA from 1 species